rfam:Streptomyces rubellomurinus strain ATCC 31215 contig-30, whole genome shotgun sequence.
GUCCGGGUGGCGGAAUGGCAGACGCGCUAGCUUGAGGUGCUAGUGCCCUUUAUUGGGCGUGGGGGUUCAAGUCCCCCCUCGGACA